UCACAAUGUGGUGUACAGCCACCCUUGAGCAAUCGCUGGUUUGUGAGCAUGCCAAACAGGGUGAUUAAGCUAUAGAAUGGAUCAAAAAGUGUUGGAACAGCGCAAAUAAAAAAGCAGCAAUGAUUUUGCUCCUCUGGCGCUACAGCAGACGGAUGAGAUGCCAUUAUGGUGCGUUAGCUAUAGUGAUAAAAGCACAUUCUCCAAAAGCGCGCGGUUGACAGAAUACUGUUACCAGCUUUCGGAUAACAAUCACGGCGAGUCCGCGACCAAACAUCUUUGAAAAUCUGAGAAAGGACAGUGAAAGAUGUUUUCCUGAUAACCAACUGGACAUUGGAAAAUGAUCUUGGUAAAAUGUCGUUUUGCUGUAUUUUAAAGCGACCAAUAUGCAGUGGACGGGGGCAGAAUUGCUGCUGCUUUUCAUUUUCCCAUUUAAUUCAGCCCAGAAAUCUGAACUACCUGCAGUAAUGGACAGUUACAUGUUGCCUGACUUUUCAUCCCAACCAGGGCCAUCAUACCUGAGUCUCAUUCUUUUGGCUCUGACUGUGGGUCUGUCUGGAACUGUCUACCUCUGUGUGCUGCGCUACAUUUGUACAGGCUGUUGUCAGCCUGUAGUUGUUAGACCUGAGGACGACAGCAUGUCAGGAGUGGUAUAGCUGUUUUUUAAGAGUGAAAAAAGGUGCAUGUUUGUGUAUAUGUGAAGGUCUUUCUGUGGUAAAACACUUGUCCCUUUGAGUAGUUCAACUGGCAUUGUCUAUCAGCAGUUAAUUGUUUUGUUAUACACUGUAUAUUCUGUUUAUAUAUUUUUUAGUUGUGGCUAUUGAAAGUGCCUAUACAUACACUGUCUAUUCAGUUUGGGAUGAGUUGAAGACUUAAUAUGUCGAAACGCAUAUAGUUAUAAAAAAUGCUUGGCACUCAAUAUUGAGUUAUCCUAUACAAAUUCAGGGAUGUGACCAGCUGCAGGAAGCUGUAAAAAAGUAUUUACUGAGGGAGAGAGAUUUAUAUUUAAAAGACUCUGAAUGGACUGUCAAUCAAAACACUCAGAAAUCCUCUUACAAUGGUAUAACACAAUCAGUAAUAGUAAACACAGUCUUAAUUUAAAUGUAAUAAAAGAAGUUUAAUUUUCACAAGAUAAGAAAUGUGAAAAAAAUGUGUACAAACAUUUACCCUAAUUUUCUAUUUACUUGGUGCACAUUUAAGGUCAAUUAUUUUACAUAAUUUAGCCUAGAAUUUAGCCUAGAACUAUUUUCAUGUCAACAUUUCUUGUUUGUUUAAGUAGCAUGCUCUCAGGAGUAAUGAUGAUUAAGUUCAAGCAACUGUUGCCAAGGGCUACCGCUGGAACUAGUUGCUAUGGUAAUAGUAGCAUCCGCAUGCCUCUAGAUGGGGCUGUCGCAUAAGCGGUUCAGAUCACUUAAAACGUGAACACUGUAUUCAAGUAUUUAUGCUGAAUAAGAUGUUAUGGAAAUAAUUAUUGUGUCUUAAUAUAAACACUUGCACAUACUUGCUAAUGCAGUGUCGUUUUGAACAAUUG